rnacentral:rRNA from 1 species
UACGGGGGGGGCAAGCGUUGUUCGGAAUUACUGGGCGUAAAGGGCUCGUAGGUGGCCAACUAAGUCAUACGUGAAAUCCCUCGGCUUAACCGCGGGCUUGCGGUUGAUACGGGCGGGCUAGAGUUCGGUAGGGGAGACUGGAAUUCCUGGUGUAGCGGUGAAAUGCGCAGAUAUCAGGAGGAACACCGGUGGCGAAGGCGGCAUCCUGGACCGGCAUUGACGCUGAGGAGCGAAAGCCAGGGGAGCAAACGGG